GAUUGCUCAGUAGUUAAGCACCCCAGUACAAAAAAAAAAAUUAGAUCAUUGAGGUUCAGAUGGGCCAAAUCAAUAGAGGAAACCUCUGACAAUUGUUCUAGAAGUGAUCAGUAAAAGUGCCUUGCUUGUGUUGGGAGAUCAAACAGUUCCACUAUCAGCAAAAGAAAGCACAGAAAAUGCUAGGAUAAUACCUAUGCCUCUAUUCCACUGUUGCCCACUAGGCACCUAUCAGAAGAGAAAAGGAAGAGGAUCCCAGCCAACUGAGAAACAUCUGCUUCCACUGUCCCAGCUGAGUUUCAAACAGGUGGCUAAGUUCUCUUCAUUUCACAAGAUUAAGUUUUCUACUAUAAUUGGAAGCACAUUCAUAGACAGCUGCUAUAUCAUAUCUCUAAAGAAAUACAUUAUAAAUUCCAGUGGGAAGCUGGCCUUUCUGCAGAAAGGAAAAACCUAGAGGUUUGAAGCAUGGAAGCAUUUGGUAUGAAGGUCUGCAUAUGGAGUGCGGAGCAAACACUCCCAUCAGUGUCAUGGCUGAGGUUCUGGCUUGGUUUAAGAACACUUCAAAAUGAAGGGAAAACUUAUACACAAAUGAUGUGCAAUGAUGUGUGAGGUCACAAGGAAGCUGAAUCACAGUGAUAAGGUGUGUUGUCCUGAAACACAAAGCAAGGGAAUGUUUUAAGAAGAAAGUAUGCCCUGAGUUACAAACUGUGCAGAAAUCAAGUAAAAGGAAGCUCAUGCUGCAUCCUCCUCAUCUCUACAGAGGAGCCUCAGCCUCAAGGGCCUCUCCUAGCUGAUCUCAUGCCUCUCCCAGGCUCAGGGGCAAUUUGAUGGCACUUUUCAGCAAGCAAGAGGAAUCAGAUGUUUAUUUGAAGACUUCAGCUUGGAAUCAAGAGUGAAGCUUGCUGUGUUUGGAUGGUCCCGCUGCUACAGGUGGGCACUACCCUGGCCUCAGGGGCUCUGGAUCACAGGAUUCUGGACCUAGUAUUA